rnacentral:rRNA from 1 species
UGGGGAAUAUUGGGCAAUGGGCGAAAGCCUGACCCAGCAACGCCGCGUGAGGGAAGAAGGUUUUCGGAUUGUAAACCUCUGUCCUUGGGGACGAAGAAAGUGACGGUACCCAAGGAGGAAGCCCCGGCUAACUACGUGCCAGCAGCCGCGGUAAUACGUAGGGGGCGAGCGUUGUCCGGAAUUACUGGGCGUAAAGGGUGCGUAGGCGGCUUAAUAAGUCAGAUGUGAAACCCCGGGGCUUAACUCCGGAAUGGCAUUUGAAACUGUUGAGCUUGAGUGCAGGAGAGGAAAGCGGAAUUCCUAGUGUAGCGGUGAAAUGCGUAGAUAUUAGGAGGAACACCAGUGGCGAAGGCGGCUUUCUGGACUGUAACUGACGCUGAGGCGCGAAAGCGUGGGGAGCAAACA